GAUGCCAUUUCAACCAACACAGACACCACCACGACCUUUCGGAUCACAACAGUUAUAUGAUGCGGGACCUUCUUUGUAUUACCCUACGGCGACAGCAGAAGGAACGCAAGGAUCGCACCACCAGCUUCCUGAUAUGGGUCAUUCAUCGUAUCCACCACCAAUAGGGCCCACAUAAGAUACCUUUGAGGCGAACUUCGAAGAUUGGAGUCGGUU